rnacentral:rRNA from 1 species
AUACGUAGGGGACGAGCGUUGUCCGGAAUUACUGGGCGUAAAGGGUGCGCAGGCGGCCAUUUAAGUCAGCGGUUAAAUCGUGGGGCUCAACCCCAUUCUGCCGUUGAUACUGGGUGGCUUGAUUGCGGUCGAGGUUGGCGGAAUUCGUUGUGUAGCGGUGAAAUGCAUAGAUAUGACGAAGAACACCGAUUGCGUAGGCAGCUGACCAGACCGCAAAUGACGCUCAUGCACGAAAGUGCGGGGAUCGAACAGGAUUAGAUACCCUGGUAGUCCGCACAGUAAACGAUGAAUACUUGUUUUCGGCGAUAUAAUGUCGGAGGCAAAGCGAAAGCGUUAAGUAUUCCGCCUGGGGAGUACGCCGGCAACGGUGAAA